AGCUCAGUGGUUCAGAGGUUGAACGUCCGCGCACAAGCCCGGUAGGUCCCGGGUUUGAGUCCCACGGGUGGGGUU
rnacentral:tRNA from 1 species